rnacentral:lncRNA from 1 species
AAGGUUUUUGGGCGAAAGUUUUUUUUCCCGGAGUGUUUUCGGUUCUAGCGAGGUCCAGAGUUAUAAUGUUAUAUUGGAUUUGAGUUCCUCUUAAUUUUCUGCAAAUUUUGACUAUUUAUUUGUAAGGUUUGGUUAAGAUUUUUGAAAAUAGAGGAGUUUCUAGUUGAGAGGUGAGAGCUUUGUGCAAGCAGCAAGAAGAAGAAGCUGCAGACGAGG